rnacentral:rRNA from 1 species
UACGUAGGGAGCAAGCGUUGUCCGGAAUCAUUGGGCGUAAAGCGCGCGUAGGUGGCCAUUUAAGUCCGCUGUGAAAGUCAAAGGCUCAACCUUUGAAAGCCGGUGGAUACUGGGUGGCUAGAGUACGGAAGAGGCGAGUGGAAUUCCUGGUGUAGCGGUGGAAUGCGCAGAUAUCAGGAGGAACACCAAUAGCGAAGGCAGCUCGCUGGGACGUUACUGACACUGAGCCGCGAAAGCUAGGGGAGCGAACGGG